ACGCUCGACACCUACGGGAGGCAGCAGUGGGGAAUAUUGCACAAUGGGGGGAAACCCUGAUGCAGCGACGCCGCGUGAGCGAAGAAGUAUUUCGGUAUGUAAAGCUCUAUCAGCAGGGAANAAAAUGACGGUACCUGACUAAGAAGCCCCGGCUAACUACGUGUCAGCAGCCGCGGUAAUCUGAGCGGGCUGGCAAGGC
rnacentral:rRNA from 1 species